rnacentral:rRNA from 1 species
CGAACGCUGGCGGCAUGCCUAACACAUGCAAGUCGAACGAGACCUUCGGGUCUAGUGGCGCACGGGUGCGUAACGCGUGGGAACCUGCCCUUAGGUUCGGAAUAACUCCCCGAAAGGGGUGCUAAUACCGGAUAAUGUCUUCGGACCAAAGAUUUAUCGCCUUUGGAUGGGCCCGCGUUGGAUUAGCUAGUUGGUAGGGUAAAAGCCUACCAAGGCGACGAUCCAUAGCUGGUCUGAGAGGAUGAUCAGCCACACUGGGACUGAGACACGGCCCAGACUCCUACGGGAGGCAGCAGUGGGGAAUAUUGGACAAUAGGCGAAAGCCUGAUCCAGCAAUGCCGCGUGAGUGAUGAAGGCCUUAGGGUUGUAAAGCUCUUUUACCCGGGAUGAUAAUGACAGUACCGGGAGAAUAAGCUCCGGCUAACUCCGUG